CAGGGGCAGUGGUGCCAGAGCUGAAGAUCAAUCUCAAGAUGGAAGACGACUUGAGCGCAAGUUUUCUGAGCAAAACAUUGGUGCUCCACCUAGUUAUGAAGAAGCAGUUAGCGAAUCACGAAGCCCUGUUUACAGUGAAAGGGGUGAAGAGACUGCAGCAGUGCCUGCUCCCAGAGCUGCUUCUCCUCCUGCAAGCAAUAAUCCAAUCCAAGCACCUGCUGCUUUAGUGGGUGCGGCAUCCCCCACCCACCAGGAAGUUGGGGCUUCUGAUGAAUUUGACCCCCGCAGUCCCAUUUCAGGUAUCUACUUGUAAUAAUAUGGAAAUAUUAAUAUCCAAGAUAUUACUGAAAAUGAGAUGAAGUUGAGAUGAAACUUUUUUCUUGAUUGACAUUCACGCAAUACUGGAAUCAUUUUCUCCCUAAAAUGUUUUAUUUGCUGUAAAGAUAAGAACAAAAUCCUUUCCAGAACAAAAAGAAAUUGUAAGUACUUGAGCAGUUCCUCAUUUGUUGUUAUUGUUAUUAUUAUUAUUAUAAUUGUUUUUGGGCUGUGUUUGGGAUAAGAUGUGUUACACUACAAGAAUCAUAGAUGUUGGGUCGUGGAUGCUGUAUUCGUUGUUUCUUCAGCUAUGAUGGACUAAAGCUUAAUAACUAUUAUUAAACAUACUUGUAGCUGUUCCCCCUACCGUAUGGGUAAGUUGGAAGAAAGGAAAUGGAAGGCCUUUUGAAGGGGUAUAAACUAAAGCUUAAUAACUAUUAUUAAACAUACUUGUAAACUAAGAUGUUUGGUUCCG